GGACGAACGCUGGCGGCAUGCCUAACACAUGCAAGUCGAACGGAGUAAUGACUUCGGUUAUACUAGUGGCGAACGGGUGAGUAACACGUGAAUAAUCUGCCCUGUACGAUGGGAUAACAGCUGGAAACGGCUGCUAAUACCGUAUAUGACCACGCCGAGGCAUCUCGGAGGGGUGAAAGCGCUUAAGCGGUACAGGAUGAGUUCGCGUCCAAUUAGCUAGUUGGUGAGGUAACGGCCCACCAAGGCGACGAUUGGUAGCCGACCUGAGAGGGUGAUCGGCCACACUGGAACUGAGACACGGUCCAGACUCCUACGGGAGGCAGCAGUGGGGAAUAUUGGGCAAUGGAGGAAACUCCUACCCAAGCAAUGCCGCGUGAGUGAUGAAGGUCUUCGGAUUGUAAAGCUCUUUGAUUGGGGACGAAUAAAUGACGGUACCCAAGGAACAAGCCCCGGCUAACUAUGUGCCAGCCGCCGC
rnacentral:rRNA from 1 species